AGGGAAGCACGGGCAAAGCGCGCCGGAAAGAGGCUUUCAGCGCGAAGCUGCCUCCUGGCGGGCGCGCAGGGCGUAGGCGGCGGCCGGCGCCGGAAGCCGCGGACCCCAGGCCGCCGUCCUGCCCCGCCCGGGCCCUCGUGACCCCGCGCCCCAGCUCCGCGGGUGGCGCCGCGUAGGCUGAUGCCGCCGAGGCCGGCAGGGCCGGGGCCAUCGCCGCAGCCGCGCCGGGCUCAGACCGCGGGUUAGGUCUCCCGCGUGGAACGGCGAUGGGGCCCAAGGCCUCCCGCUCCUCCUCUUCUCCCUCCCUGCCACCCUCUCCUCUUCCUCCCUGCGCGCGGGGCGCGGGGCGCCGGGACGGUGAAAUCCGGAACAGAAACCCAGCGCAGGGGAAGAAGCCCACCACAGGCCUGGGCUGAAACUGGCGCUCUCACAUCUGGUGUCUCUCCUGCACUCCAGACUUCCGCCGCACGCUUCUUAAAAAGGGGCCAUUGAACGCUACAGCCGGAGCCUGGAGUCAGAGACGGACCUUUCAGCAUGUGAGUUCCAGGAUAAGAACCUUAUACUACUUAGCCAUCUCGCCACCCUCCCUGGAUUGCUGUGUCUGUGACUGGUGUGUCUGUGCAACUCAAAGAACAACCUUGUGUCAUCAGUUUUCCUUCCACCUUUAUUUACGUGGGCUCUGGGGACCACAACUCAGAUUGUCCGGUGAGCAAGCAAGCCAAAUAAAGACUCACUAAGCCAUCUCAAACACCUCAAAAUCUAAAACAGUUAAAAAUCACAUAAGCCAUUCACCAAGUUACCACUUCAAAGAGUUCAGUGCUCUUGGGCUGGAGAGAUACUGCACAAUUAAAAACACUUGUUCCUCUGCCGAGGACCCGGGUCCCAGCAUUCUCGUGGUGGCUCCCAACUGCCCGUAACUCCAGUUUCAGGCAACCCAGUGACCUCUUUUGGCCCCUGAGGGCUCCCACACACACAUAAUACACACAUUCCUGCAGGCUUACAGGUUAUCCAAAAUAAAAAUAUAGUUUUUUAAAGUUA